UCGGACGUGGUGCACGGCGUGCACCCGCUUUCCAUGACAAGGCGGUUUCGGAAAUAUGCGGCGGGAAACCCGGGUUCGACUCCCGGCGUCCGAA